rnacentral:misc_RNA from 1 species
GAUGAAGAACGUAGCGAAAUGCGAUACUUGGUGUGAAUUGCAGAAUCCCGUGAACCAUCGAGUAUUUGAACGCAAGUUGCGCCUCAAGCCAUUAGGUUGAGGGCACGUCUGCCUGGGCGUCACAUAUCGUUGCCUGAUGCCAGUUUCCUCGUGAUGGGUGACUGUGCAGGGCGAAUGAUGGCUUCCCGUGAGCAUUGUUGCCUCAUGGUUGGUUGAAAAUUGAGUCCUUGGUAGGGAGCGCCGUGAUAGAUGGUGGUUGAGUGACGAACGAGACCCAAUCAUGUGAGACCCGUACCGAAUUUGGCCUUCAUGACCCACAUGCGUCUUUGGAACGCUCAUGACGAGACCUCAGGUCAGGCGGGGCUACCCGCUGAGUUUAAGCAUAUCAAUAAGCGGAGGA